ensembl:rRNA 5S_rRNA 5S ribosomal RNA
GUCUAUGGCUAUGCUACCUUGAACAAGUCUGAUCCCGUCUGAUCUCAAAAGCUAAGCAGGGUCAGGCUUGGUUAGUACUUGGAUGGGAGACCAUCUAAGAAGACCAGGUGCUGUAGGCA